GUAGGUGGCAAGCGUUGUCCGGGAAUUAUUGGGGCGUAAAGCGCGCGCAGGCGGUUCUUCAAGGUCUGAUGUGAAAGCCCACGGGCUCAACCGUGGAGGGUCAUUGGAAACUGGAGAACUUGAGUACAGAAGAGGAAAGCGGAAUUCCACGUGUAGCGGUGAAAUGCGUAGAGAUGUGGAGGGACACCAGUGGCGAAGGCGGCUUUCUGGUCUGUAACUGACGCUGAGGCGCGAAAGCGUGGGGAGCAAACAGGAUUAGAUACCCUGGUAGUCCACGCCGUAAACGAUGAGUGCUAAGUGUUAGGGGGUUUCCGCCCCUUAGUGCUGCAGCUAACGCAUUAAGCACUCCGCCUGGGGAGUACGACCGCAAAGGUUGA
rnacentral:rRNA from 1 species